AUGACGUCAAGUCCUCAUGGCCUUUAUGCUUAGGGCUACACACCGUGCUACAAUGGGUGGUACAAAGAGAAGCCAACUCGCGAGAGCGCGCCAAUCUCAAAAAGCCAUCCUCAGUUCGGAUUGGAGUCUGCAACUCGACUCCAUGAAGUUGGAAUCGCUAGUAAUCGCGGAUCAGCAUGCCGCGGUGAAUACGUUCCCGGGCCUU
rnacentral:rRNA from 1 species